rnacentral:rRNA from 1 species
UUCCAGACUCCUACGGGAGGCAGCAGUGGGGAAUAUUGCACAAUGGGGGAAACCCUGAUGCAGCGACGCCGCGUGAGUGAAGAAGUAUCUCGGUACGUAAAGCUCUAUCAGCAGGGAAGAAAAUGACGGUACCUGACUAAGAAGCCCCGGCUAACUACGUGCCAGCAGCCGCGGUAAUACGUAGGGGGCAAGCGUUAUCCGGAUUUACUGGGUGUAAAGGGAGCGUAGACGGCAGCGCAAGUCUGGAGUGAAAUGCCGGGGCCCAACCCCGGAACUGCUUUGGAAACUGUGCAGCUCGAGUGCAGGAGAGGUAAGCGGAAUUCCUAGUGUAGCGGUGAAAUGCGUAGAUAUCAGGAGGAACACCGGUGGCGAAGGCGGCUUACUGGACCAUAACUGACGUUGAGGCUCGAAAGCGUGGGGAGCGAACAGGAUUAGAUACCCUCGUAAG